CGUAGGUGGCAAGCGUUAUCCGGAAUUACUGGGCGUAAAGCGCACGCAGGCGGUCUUUUAAGUUUGACGUGAAAGCUCCCGGCUUAACUGGGAGAGGUCGUUGAAUACUGGAAGACUUGAGGCAAUGAGAGGGGUGUAGAAUUCCCGGUGUAGUGGUGGAAUGCGUAGAUAUCGGGGGGAAUACCAGUGGCGAAAGCGGCACCCUAGCGUUAGCCUGACGCUCAUGUGCGAAAGCGUGGGGAGCGAACGGGAUUAGAUACCCCGGUAGUCCACGCCGUAAACGAUGAACACUAGGUGUAGGUGAUGUGAAAGUUAUCUGUACCGAAGCCAACGCGUUAAGUGUUCCGCCUGGGGAGUACGGCCGCAAGGCUA
rnacentral:rRNA from 1 species